ACAACACUGGGUCUGUCGGUCUACUGAGCAAUUUCACCCACUCAAUGGAAUAUCUUUCCUUUGUCGU
rnacentral:pre_miRNA from 1 species